rnacentral:rRNA from 1 species
GACGAACGCUGGCGGCGUGCUUAACACAUGCAAGUCGAACGGAAAGGCCCUGCUUUUGUGGGGUGCUCGAGUGGCGAACGGGUGAGUAACACGUGAGUAACCUGCCCUUGACUUUGGGAUAACUUCAGGAAACUGGGGCUAAUACCGGAUAGGAGCUCCUGCUGCAUGGUGGGGGUUGGAAAGUUUCGGCGGUUGGGGAUGGACUCGCGGCUUAUCAGCUUGUUGGUGGGGUAGUGGCUUACCAAGGCUUUGACGGGUAGCCGGCCUGAGAGGGUGACCGGCCACAUUGGGACUGAGAAACGGCCCAGACUCCUACGGGAGGCAGCAGUGGGGAAUAUUGCACAAUGGGCGGAAGCCUGAUGCAGCAACGCCGCGUGCGGGAUGACGGCCUUCGGGUUGUAAACCGCUUUCGCCUGUGACGAAGCGUGAGUGACGGUAAUGUGUAAAGAAGCACCGGCUAACUACGUG